ACAACGGUAUGGUGUAAAAUAUUUGCAGUAACUGUAACCCUCCUUACAGGUGUUGUGGUCCAGUUUCCAGCCUGGAUCGCAGCUGUCCUCGGUGAGUCCAUUCCGACAAACACAUUCGCAGGUGGACUCAUACAGAAUCCUGUUGGGCCCACAGAGAGCCAGCAGACCCGAGUCCAGCGCCUCUGGAAGCCACAUGGAAAGGAGGUGAUCUGAUGCAGCUCGUCUUAUGAUGGAGUGGAGCGGCCGCUUGGAGAGGCAUUCGCACGAAGUGUGGUUGACGAAGGAUACCAUGACGACGGAGCGAUCCAUCCUGGGCGGGGACAGUUCCAUCAACUGGCAGGAGGAAAGAUGAAAGGCGAAGCAGUUACCGACAACUGUAAAAUAAAUUAUGGGGAAGAUGGACAGACAGACAGACAGACGAGAGAAGAAGGAGAGGAGACAGGAGGCUGACGACAAGGAAGGAGAAAGAGGUGUGUCUGGGAAACGCUCGAAUGAGAAAACAUCCGAUUUUUGGGCCAGUCACUGCCAGCCUUUUCAAGGAUUAAAGACGCACACCCCCACACACACACACACAUGCACACACACGGUGGCAAGUGUCUGCUUGCAGUACGCUUUAUGUGUUGAAAUCUGUCGACCAAAUUCCACAUUCCAGUCAUUGCUUUCCCCACUUCAACAUGUGAGCUUGGAGCAAAGAUUUAAGAGAGAGAGAGAGAGAGAG